UCAGAUUGAACGCUGGCGGCAGGCCUAACACAUGCAAGUCGAGCGGUAACAUUUCUAGCUUGCUAGAAGAUGACGAGCGGCGGACGGGUGAGUAAUACUUGGGGAUCUGCCUGAUGGCGGGGGACAACCACUGGAAACGGUGGCUAAUACCGCAUAAUGCCUACGGGCCAAAGUGUGGGACCUUCGGGCCACAUGCCAUCAGAUGAACCCAAGCGAGAUUAGCUAGUUGGUGAGGUAACGGCUCACCAAGGCGACGAUCUCUAGCUGGUCUGAGAGGAUGAUCAGCCACACUGGGACUGAGACACGGCCCAGACUCCUACGGGAGGCAGCAGUGGGGAAUAUUGGACAAUGGGCGCAAGCCUGAUCCAGCCAUGCCGCGUGUGUGAAGAAGGCCUUCGGGUUGUAAAGCACUUUCAGUGGUGAGGAAGGCGUUGUAGUUAAUAGCUGCAACGAUUGACGUUAGCCACAGAAGAAGCACCGGCUAACUCCGUGCCAGCAGCCGCGGUAAUACGGAGGGUGCGAGCGUUAAUCGGAAUUACUGGGCGUAAAGCGCACGUAGGCGGUUUGUUAAGCAAGAUGUGAAAGCCCAGGGCUCAACCUUGGAAUUGCAUUUUGAACUGGCAAGCUAGAGUUUUGAAGAGGGUGGUAGAAUUUCCAGUGUAGC
rnacentral:rRNA from 1 species